CNGANUGCUAUCGGAUUGAUANUAAGCCAUGCGAGUCANUGUAGUAAUACAAGGCAGACGGCUCAGUAACGCGUAGUCAACNUACCCUAUGGACGGGGAUAACCUCGGGAAACUGGGAAUAAUACCCGAUAGAACAUUAUGCCUGGAAUGGUUUAUGUUUCAAAUAAUUUAUUGCCGUAGGAUGGGACUGCGGCCUAUCAGUUUGUUGGUGAGGUAAUGGCCCACCAAGACUAUUACAGGUACGGGCUCUGAGAGGAGUAGCCCGGAGAUGGGUACUGAGACACGGACCCAGGCCUUAUGGGGCGCAGCAGGCGAGAAAACUUUGCAAUGUGCGAAAGCACGACAAGGUUAAUCCGAGUGGUUUCUGCUAAAGGAACCUUUUGUCAGUCCUAGAAACACUGAUGAAUAAGGGGUGGGCAAGUUCUGGUGUCAGCCGCCGCGGUAAAACCAGCACCUCAAGUGGUCAGGAUGAUUAUUGGGCCUAAAGCAUCCGUAGCCUGCUUUGUAAGUUUUCGGUUAAAUCCAUACGCUCAACGUAUGGGCUGCCGGGAAUACUGCAAAGCUAGGGAGUGGGAGAGGUAGACGGUACUCGGUAGGAAGGGGUAAAAUCCUUUGAUCUAUUGAUGACCACCUGUGGCGAAGGCGGUCUACCAGAACACGUCCGACGGUGAGGGAUGAAAGCUGGGGGAGCAAACCGGAUUAGAUACCCGGGUAGUCCCAGCUGUAAACUAUGCAAACUCAGUGAUGCAUUGGCUUGAUGCCAAUGCAGUGCUGCAGGGAAGCCGUUAAGUUUGCCGCCUGGGAAGUACGUACGCAAGUAUGAAACUUAAAGGAAUUGGCGG
rnacentral:rRNA from 1 species